CGUAGGUGAACCUGCGGAAGGAUCAUUAUUGAAAUAAACCUGAUGAGUUGUUGCUGGUUCUCUAGGGAGCAUGUGCACACUUGUCAUCUUUAUAUCUCCACCUGUGCACCUUUUGUAGACCUGGAUAUCUCUCUGAGUGCUAGUCACGCAGGUUUUGAGGAUUGACUUUGCGUCUCUCCUUACAUUUCCAGGCCUAUGUUUCUUCAUAUACCCAAUGUAUGUUUUAGAAUGUCGUCAAUGGGCCUUUGUGCCUAUAAACCUAUACAACUUUCAGCAACGGAUCUCUUGGCUCUCGCAUCGAUGAAGAACGCAGCGAAAUGCGAUAAGUAAUGUGAAUUGCAGAAUUCAGUGAAUCAUCGAAUCUUUGAACGCACCUUGCGCUCCUUGGUAUUCCGAGGAGCAUGCCUGUUUGAGUGUCAUUAAUAUAUCAACCUCUUCAACUUUUUUGUUUGAUGAGCGUUGGAUGUGGGGGUUCAUUUUGCUGGUCUUAUUUUCUAAAGAUCAACUCCCCUAAAAUGCAUUAGCGGAACAAUUUGUGGACCGUUCAUUGGUGUGAUAACUAUCUACGCUAUUGACGUGAAGCAGUUCAGCUUCUAACAGUACCAUU
rnacentral:rRNA from 1 species